AUUGAACGCUGGCGGCAUGCUUUACACAUGCAAGUCGAACGGUAACAGGUUAAGCUGACGAGUGGCGAACGGGUGAGUAAUGAAUCGGAACGUGUCCGGUCGUGGGGGAUAACGCAGCGAAAGCUGCGCUAAUACCGCAUACGAUCUGAGGAUGAAAGCGGGGGACCGGAAGGCCUAGCGCGAUCGGAGCGGCCGAUGUCAGAAUAGGUAGUUGGUGGGGUAAAGGCUCACCAAGCCAACGAUCUGUAGCUGGUCUGAGAGGACGACCAGCCACACUGGGACUGAGACACGGCCCAGACUCCUACGGGAGGCAGCAGUGGGGAAUUUUGGACAAUGGGCGAAAGCCUGAUCCAGCAAUGCCGCGUGCAGGAAGAAGGCCUUCGGGUUGUAAACUGCUUUUGUACGGAGCGAAAAGGUCUCCUCUAAUACAGGGGGCUCAUGACGGUACCGUAAGAAUAAGCACCGGCUAACUACGUGCCAGCCGCCGCAGUAA
rnacentral:rRNA from 1 species